rnacentral:pre_miRNA from 1 species
GGGAGGUAUGAUAUCGUGGUUCCUGGGAGGUGUGAUCCCAUGCUUCCUGGGAGGUGUGAUCCCAUGCUUCCU